rnacentral:rRNA from 1 species
GGACUACUCGGGUAUCUAAUCCCGUUCGCUCCCCUGGCUUUCGCGCCUCAGCGUCAGAAGAGGUCCAGCACGCCGCUUUCGCCACCGGCGUUCCUUCCGAUAUCUACGCAUUUCACCGCUCCACCGGAAGUUCCGCAUGCCCCUACCUCCCUCGAGGCGACCAGUAUCGAAGGCACUCUUCCGGUUGAGCCGAAAGAUUUCACCCCCGACUUGGUCGCCCGCCUACGCGCCCUUUAAGCCCAGUGAAUCCGAACAACGUUCGCACGGUUCGUCUUACCGCGGCUGCUGGCAC